CCUUCCGGAAUUUACCACCGAAGGGAGACAGCAGUGGCCUCAGCUGAUUUCUCUAAACACUUCUAUAAGGCGUGAAGUUGAGCCAUCAGCUUCAUCUUCCUGAAAACAAAAGAAGAAAAACAAGAAAAUCAUGGUCACUGGUGUCUUUGAAACAAGCAAGGUUCAUGGGACCAUGUGGAGCUAUUCCUUUCAAACUCCACAGAAAGGAUGGCAACCAAGGGGAAUGUGGUAUGCCCCAG